CAACGGCUCUGCAAAAACCUGGCAACAAGUAGCUUUUUUGGGGCCUUUCCGUAGUUUUGUGCGGCAAUUUUUGCAUCAGUUUGGAUCUUGGUGUUAUUUCUUCUCUUUGGGUGUUAUUUUUUCAUCUGCACUGAUACCCAGAGUUUUAUAUUUUCCUUUGAAAGAGUUUGGCGGUGUGCAUUUUCAAGGUCUUAUUAUUUUCUGUCGUCGUUUGGUCGUGUUUGUAUCUCGCCACGUGACGAGCCUUCUUCCUCCUGGAGCUGUGUUCGUACGGGCGUCAUUCCUACUGGAGAUGUGGAUCCAGCGGGGAAAAAAGAGAGGAAGAGAGAAGCUGCUCAGAAUUUCACCCCCGGAUUCGGGAACGUUUCGGAAUCGCCUCUACUGCAGAAUAUUUGCUGCAUGACUGACUCUGGCCGAUGGCACGGGACUUUUGGCCAAUCAGAGAACCCCAUGGUCAGACAGACGGACAGCCCUAGCAAUGCUGCUACCUGACAAGCUGCUUAGAGCCUGAUGGAGAGAGGAGGAGGAGGGAGGAGGAGGGAGGGAGGAGGCGAUAGGCCAGUGUUUUUUUUCUCUCUCUCUCUCUCUCUCUCUCUCUCUCUCUCUCUCUCUCAGGGCGUGUUAAGGAGCAGGACCACACAUGCCCCCUUGGUGACCGACUGUCUUUGCCCUGAAGUACUUUCAGUAACCAUCUCUGUCUGUCUGUCCGUCCAUUUGUACUAACAUCUGUCCUGUCAACAAAAAAAUAAAAAAAAUAAUUGAAAUUACAUAAGUGGAUCCAAACUCUGAUCUCCUUUAAAAAAAAAAUUAAAAACAAGUUGUCUUCCUGACCUGGUUGACUGGGACCAAGGUACUGGAGUACCAGUGUAGACCGUCGGGUCGAUGAUGG
rnacentral:lncRNA from 1 species